rnacentral:rRNA from 1 species
ACCUAGCGGCGGACGGGUGAGUAAUGCUUAGGAAUCUGCCUAUUAGUGGGGGACAACAUUCCGAAAGGAAUGCUAAUACCGCAUACGCCCUACGGGGGAAAGCAGGGGAUCUUCGGACCUUGCGCUAUCGGAUGAGCCUAUGUCGGAUUAGCUAGUUGGUGAGGUAACGGCUCACCAAGGCUGCGAUCCGUAGCUGGUCUGAGAGGAUGAUCAGCCACAUCGGGACUGAGACACGGCCCGAACUCCUACGGGAGGCAGCAGUGGGGAAUAUUGGACAAUGGGCGAAAGCCUGAUCCAGCCAUGCCGCGUGUGUGAAGAAGGCCUUCGGGUUGUAAAGCACUUUCAGUGAGGAAGAAAGCCUUGAGGUUAAUACCCUCGAGGGAGGACAUCACUCACAGAAGAAGCACCGGCUAACUCCGUGCCAGCAGCCGCGGUAAUACGGAGGGUGCGAGCGUUAAUCGGAAUUACUGGGCGUAAAGCGCGCGUAGGCGGUUUGUUAAGUCGGAUGUGAAAGCCCCGGGCUCAACCUGGGAUGGUCAUUUAGAACUGGCAGACUAGAGUCUUGGAGAGGGGAGUGGAAUUCCAGGUGUAGCGGUGAAAUGCGUAGAUAUCUGGAGGAACAUCAGUGGCGAAGGCGACUCCCUGGCCAAAGACUGACGCUCAUGUGCGAAAGUGUGGGUAGCGAACAGGAUUAGAUACCCUGGUAGUCCACACCGUAAACGCUGUCUACUAGCUGUGUGUGCCUUUAAGGCGUGCGUAGCGAAGCUAACGCGCUAAGUAGACCGCCUGGGGAGUACGGCCGCAAGGUUAAAACUCAAAUGAAUUGACGGGGGCCCGCACAAGCGGUGGAGCAUGUGGUUUAAUUCGAUG